GAUGAAGAACGCAGCGAAAUGCGAUAAGUAAUGUGAAUUGCAGAAUUCAGUGAAUCAUCGAAUCUUUGAACGCAUCUUGCGCUCCUUGGUAUUCCUUGGAGCAUGCCUGUUUGAGUAUCAUGAGCAAAUCUCAAAGUCAAUUCCUUUUGUUAAUUCAAUUGGUUUUGCUUUGGACUUGGAGGUCUUGCAGAUUUUCACAGUCUGCUCCUCUUAAAUGCAUUAGCUGGAUCUCAGUAAUUAUGCUUGGUUCCACUCGGCGUGAUAAGUAUCACUCGCUGAGGACACUGUUAAAAAGGUGGCCAGGAAAAUACUGAUUGAACCGCUUCUAACGGUCUAUUAAGUUAGACAAUUACCCUUAAGUUUGAUCUCAAAUCAGGUAGGACUACCCGCUGAACUUAAGCAUAUCAAUAAGCGGAGGA
rnacentral:misc_RNA from 1 species